rnacentral:sRNA from 1 species
ACUCAACACUUUACAAUUAAAAAGGGUGAGUUUUGGUUGCUAAAACAUGCCGUUAUGUUUUACACAUUAGACGGAAGUUUGAUCAUCCAUGUAGCCCUAAUCCUGUUUUAUAAGGAGUUU